rnacentral:rRNA from 1 species
UACAGAGGGUGCGAGCGUUGUCCGGAAUCACUGGGCGUAAAGGGCGCGUAGGCGGCUCGGUAAGUAGGGGGUGAAAUCCUGCGGCUCAACCGCAGGGCUGCCUUCUAAACUGUCGAGCUCGAGCACGGUAGAGGCAGAUGGAAUUCCCGGUGUAGCGGUGGAAUGCGUAGAGAUCGGGAAGAACAUCAGUGGCGAAGGCGGUCUGCUGGGCCGUUGCUGACGCUGAGGCGCGACAGCGUGGGGAGCAAACAGG